AAUAACCUCAUUUUUCAUUUUUUCCAUGUCCAACGUUUGACCAUUCGUCUUAUUUGAAAAAUUUAUACAAAAACUUAAAAAAAUUAGUCACGUAUAAAAUACUAUUUAUAUUUUAUCAUCUAAUAACAAUAAAAAUAUUAAUCGCAAAAAAUUUUUAAAUAAAAUGAAUGGUCAAACAUUGGAUAUGAAAAAACAAAAAAUGAGGUUAUU
rfam:Oryza brachyantha chromosome 4, whole genome shotgun sequence.